rnacentral:misc_RNA from 1 species
AAUGCUUUUUGGAGGUUAUAUUUAUAUAAAAAAUCAGUGAAAAACUCCUGUUGAAUCCCAAAGAAAGAGUUGAAGUAGGCCAAUUCAUUCAUUGCUGAAAAUUUAUGGUAGAAGGAUGUGGCGUGAUUUCUUUUAAUUAAAAACCAUAAAUGGAGGAGUUACCGUUAUAUAUUCGUGAAAUAUGUUGUUCCCCGGGAGGGAUGUAUUUCCUUCUCCUUCUUUAAGUACUCCCCAGCUUUAUCCUUGCACCCACCAAAAUCUGUGACUCACAGCCAGCAUAAUCAGGGAAAUUACUGGGACAGGAUGCUGUUCCAGCCUCCGGAGUCUCCGAGGAGUUCUGUCAGUAAUAAUAGAGUUCUUCAUCCUGAUAAUGCAAGAUUUGGGUCAGGAGGAAGCGAGUCGAUGAACUGGCAGAAGGCGACUGAAGUUUGGGCUGCAAAUCCCAGAUCCACACUGAGAAGGGAGGGUCGAAAUAGCCCAAUAUCUAUGGAUCAGAGGACUCCUCGUACAAACGUCCCUCAACCCAUGUCAUUGGGUGAUGCCACUCCGCUGAGUGAUGGAAGCAUAUGAAAAUUUUAUGUUAGUUUAUGACAAACAAAUUAUGUGAAAUAUUUUAAAUGGAUUAUUUUCAAUAAUAUUUGU